rnacentral:rRNA from 1 species
UACGUAGGGCGCAAGCGUUGUCCGGAAUUAUUGGGCGUAAAGAGCUCGUAGGCGGUUUGUCGCGUCUGCUGUGAAAACCUAAGGCUCAACCUUGGGCUUGCAGUGGGUACGGGCAGACUAGAGUGCGGUAGGGGUGACUGGAAUUCCUGGUGUAGCGGUGGAAUGCGCAGAUAUCAGGAGGAACACCCGAGUGGCGAAGGCAGGUCACUGGGCC